AAUAUUAUGCCUGAUAAAAGGAGUAAAUUGUAAAUUUAUUAAUGAAAUUAUAUUCUAAUAUUA
rnacentral:tRNA from 1 species